CGAGAUGCUUCCUCCUCAGUCUGUGUGGGGCGAAAGUCAGUUUUCAGCGGGGGAGGGAGAUUGAGUUGAUUUGCAGUUUAAAAUUCAGAUCUCAGAAGGAUGACAAAGUGCAUCAGGCAGAAGAGUCUGGAGCAACUGUCACCACUGCUGUUCCUAGAGAGAGACUAUCACUGUGCAGUGUCGAGCCUUCACUCACCUGAAAUUUAUAAUACUGCUUCAGUCUGUCUGAAGAGUCUGGCAAAUAGCUUCUGCUGAUGAUUAUACUUAAAAAAAAUCUAAACUGCUUUCCUCUCUGAUUUUUCCAAGCAGCACAUGACCUAUCAGUGUUGUACUGAGAGGAACAUGGUUUCUGGCACAUUUUGAGGCAUAAAACAAUUUAAAAUAACAUCUCCACCUAGUGGCCAACCAAUAAAGCACAAUUGUACUAAUUUCUGGCCUGAUUUAAUUUCAAACUAGUUCUUAGAAAAAUAUGAUAUAAACUAAUGCAUAUCUAAAAUACAUGCCAAAUUAGGGGCUCCCUUUUGUACAUCUGGAUUAUCAAAACUACAUAAAGACAGUAACGUCUACCCCUUUAAGAUAAAAAGUCCUUAGUUGAGCACAAUCUAAAGAAAGAAAUGGAAAAAAUGGGAACAGCAUUUUUUCCCAUCAAUACGAUAACACAUGCUUAAUAACAAAGAAAUACAACAGCUAGUACUAAUAUAGUAGUUUUCUUUCAUGAUACCUACCUUAUUAAAGUUUAAGGCCCGUCAGCCCCAUUUUUUCACAUAGGGAAAAUACAGUGCACAGAGAGGUUAACAGCUAGGUCCAGAAAGGUGACUUAGACUCAGCAGUGCAAUCCCUAAAAUGUAAGCAUCCUGGGGUGCAGUGGAAUCUACAGACCCAAGUUACAUGCCAAAGAACAGGAUUCACACAAGCCAGCACGCUAAGCAGAAAGCUGCCUAAAGCAGGCAAUAGAAAAUGUUGGAAAGGGGUGUGGUCUCAAGUUUUGGCCCUUAAAGGGAACUGGGCACCUAACUGUGGACUACAGGGAGAUAUUUCCCUCCACUCUGCAUUCACAGGCCUGAACCCACCCCUGGAGUUAGGCCAGAUCCAGCUUACGUGUCUCUCUCACAAAAAAACGAAAUUCAUCCCUUCUAUAGCCCAUGUUCUAUAGCCCAGUGGUUAGAGCACUCACUGGAUAUGUGGGAGACUUUGGUACAAAUCCCCACACACUGAUUCAAAACAGGGUUUCCUGUCUCUAAAGUUAAUCCUAACCACCAGAGUAUAGGGUACUCUGGAAUAGAUCUCUCUCACUCUCCCCUGUAGAAGCUGUUUCACUUUGUAUAAAAUACUUAAAUAUUCAUUGGAGCAGGGCCUGGAACCUGGGUUUUCCAGAUGGGCACCCUAACCACUGAGCUACAGAAUCAUUCUUUCUGGUCCACCAUAUAGUAUCUAGUAAACCAGGUUGACUGCCUUAGAAAGGAUAAUAUUUCCUAACAGAGCACAUAGGUAAUCCAUGUAGCAAAUAGUAACAGAAAUGCCUCAAAUUACAGUAUACAAUAAUUUCACAUUUGUAUCUCAUCAG